rnacentral:rRNA from 1 species
GAUGAACGCUGACAGAAUGCUUAACACAUGCAAGUCGAUUCGAUUUACCUUCGGGUAUUGAGGAUGGCGGACGGGUGAGUAACGCGUAAGGAACUUGCCUCUUGGUCUGGGACAACUGUUGGAAACGACAGCUAAUACCGGAUAUUAUGAGAUUCUCGCAUGGGAAACUUAUGAAAGCUAUAUGCGCCAAGAGAGAGCCUUGCGUUCCAUUAGCUAGUUGGUGGGGUAACGGCCCACCAAGGCGACGAUGGAUAGCCGGCCUGAGAGGGUGAACGGCCACAAGGGGACUGAGACACGGCCCUUACUCCUACGGGAGGCAGCAGUGGGGAAUAUUGGACAAUGGGCCACAAGCCUGAUCCAGCAAUUCUGUGUGCACGAUGAAGGUCUUCGGAUUGUAAAGUGCUUUCAGUUGGGAAGAAGAAAGUGACGGUACCAACAGAAGAAGCGACGGCUAAAUACGUGCCAGCAGCCGCGGUAAUACGUAUGUCGCAAGCGUUAUCCGGAUUUAUUGGGCGUAAAGCGCGUCUAGGCGGAAAAAUAAGUCUGAUGUUAAAAUGCGGGGCUCAACUCCGUAUUGCGUUGGAAACUGUUUUUCUAGAGUACUGGAGANGUGGGCGGAACUACAAGUGUAGAGGUGAAAUUCGUAGAUAUUUGUAGGAAUGCCGAUGGAGAANUCAGCUCACUG